GGAGACGAACAUGAGUGAAGUGGUAAAAACGCCAGAGGUAGUGUCAGACGCCACACUGCCCGAAGCUUCCGUUGGCGGUGAGUAGCUAGUAGUAGUAGCAGUCGCGCGGCCGCCGUUGCUGAACUAAUUGCUGCAGGUAUUGGCGACAAUAGGUAGUCUCCCAGAAUUCUACACCCGAGCUGCUGCCUGAAGCCGCAUCGGCUCAAGGACCUUCUGCAGCAGACAUUUUGGACAUCCUUCCCCUCAAUGCUGCGAGUAAUGAAGCCCCCAAGAUUGAGGUUGCGCGCACCCUUGAGUCGGUUGGGGCGGCUACGGAGACGUCGUCUUAGGCGGAGCUAUCAUUUAGUCAAAAAUUAGUCUUGGAGCCGAGUGCGAGGAUUGAUCCUGCGGCUGAAGAUCCGUUGCCGCAGAGGGAGGUCGAGGCUUUCGAGAGCCCCUUAUUUGAUCCGCAGGUUAUAUCCUCUGUUUUUGAGGCAAAUCAGUGUUUGUUGACAUAUACCAAGGUGAGUUUUGAACUCAGCUAACAUCUUCCUCUAUUUGAGUUGAAAAAUCCACUUUAGAGUACUGAUUUCUCUAUACUCAGGAUCUGUUUGAGAAAUCUCGCCAGAAUGUACAACUUCUGCAGGAGCAAAACGAGGCUUCGCGCCGCGUUGCGCUUCUGGAGAAGGAGAUUAGCGAGGAGCGCCUGCGAACUUUGGAAUUCUUGAAGAAGUAUGAUGGUGCCUUGGCGUCGUUCAAAGUUGACCGACGGGAGUAUGAAGGAGAGAAAGCGCGCGUUGUUGCGCGUAAUAAGUCAUUGCACCAGAAAGUCGAUGGUGAGUACUCGUGUUUGCGAUCCAUAGCUUGUAUGUUGUAUGUAGCUUGCUUCUUGACCGCCUAGUGCUUUGGUGCAGAGUUGAAAAGCCAGGAGACUUUGCUGAAAAACACGAUCAGCGAUUGGAUGAACGCGUACUGCCGGCAGUCGGAGGAGCUUGAAGAACUCAAGGCUCGGCUGGAGAAGGUGGAGCGUGACUUGGAGAAGGAAUCCACGAUGCGCCAAGAUGGUGAGGCCGAUCUAGUCAGGGCUAUGACCACCAUCAAGGGGCUGUCAGACGCGGCGCAACUCGUGGCGGACCUAGUGGAGCCCCCUGCGGACGGAGUAGAGCCCCGUCCUUUAAUCGACAGGAUCAGGGAUACGCCGGGGAAGAUAACCAGCUUGAUCCAGGGCAUGGCGAAAUCCAUAUCCAAGCAGCUGUUAGGAUUCGUCAAGUCCUUCUAUCCCAAAUCAGAUCUUUCCCUGGUUGCGGAAGGUGUUGCUGCAGAUUGUUCGGACGAGACGUAUAAGCAAUACUUGGAGGAGUUAGACCCCAUAGCCGAGGAGGUAGCCAAGUUCGUUAACUUGCAGUAGUCUUAGGCUCCCUUCGGUUGUAAUCGCUCCUGAACUUGUAUCUCUGUACAAUGAUCCUUUGGGAGAAUUUUGCAUUUUGAUUUCCCACUAGUUCGCUUGUGAGAGUACUUUCUUCUGCUGACUUGAUCAGGAAUCGCAUCUUUGAGUUGUUAUCGUACUCGAUUGAUGAGUGGUCUGCAGAAGUUAUCGCUUGUUUCUCGUAGUCCAAGUAGUCGUCCCUUUGCUCAUGCAUUAUUGUGGGCGUACUGUGUAGGAUGCGCAAGGAAACUGUGCGUUGGUCCUUUGGGCUAGAGCAGAAGCAUUGAUGUAAUAUCCUGCAAGAUUCGUUAAUACGAAAAAUGCAUGUAUGAAAUAAGUAGUCGAAACGAGUAGACUUGGGUACUCUUAUGUCGACUUGUUGGCUGCUUGUGCCAUUGGUCCGUUUUCUGCGAACUUUUGAAGUGUAGGCUUGUGUUUGGGAGCUGUAUAAGCUCAUGUUGCUGCUGACCCGCUGUUUGCCGGCCGCUAGGUGAGUUGAUAAACCCGAGUAGACUUGUGAGUACAAGUCGUACUAGGGCAUGUGAGCCCAGAGAGCUGAAAAGCUCAAGGUUCGAGCUGACUCGCCUUUGCGAGCCACUCGAUGAGUUGAGUAACCCGAGCCGUUACACGACUAGUUCCAGGAGGUACAAGGGUCUUCUCAACUGUGACCGUUGAGCUUAUGCCGAUUUGGAAGGAAAACGAUAUCCCAUGGAUAAUGCCAAAAUUUUCGCCGUUGUGCGGAAAUACCGAUCCGUUGCUCCGGUAAAUGUCAUGAUACUGAAGCCUUUAGACUACUCCAUCAGGAUACUGAAGCCUUUAGACUACUCCAUCACCAUUCAGAGUACUUCUCUGUAAAAACUGAAUCGCUAUGUAAUAGCUAACAGGGGUUGAACCGGGUCAUUAUCGAAGAACACAGACCCUAGUUUAUCCCUCGAGUAGCAGUGGUUCUAGCGCCGCCGCUAUGGCUGGCUUACUAUGUAUCUGAAGAUUCCAUCUGUAAAUGAAAGAGCUGUUGUUCCUCGUCAGUUUCCCUUCCCCUUUUGAAUCUGCCUGCGUUCUUGCUGUUUCUUUUGCUUCUAUCUUUUCGAUCCCUGUCAGUAACUCCGUCGCGGUUAUAAAUAUUGGGGGAAAGUUACCCCUGCCCAUUAUGCUUUCAUUUGAAUCUGUUCGUUGCUCAGGCAAGAAAAAACCCUAGCCCUCAGCACCGCCGCCGUUGCAUCUUUAGAUCGCCAGCGUAGCUGCCUCUUCCAUCGCCUGCGCCGCCUCCGCUUGCUCCCCAAGGCAGGAAUCAGGAUGGGGAGAAAGCUUCAGAGCUCGAAGAAGGGGACCAAGGAGGCAUCCAAGGAGUCUUCCACAAAAGGGAAAGAGCCCCAGCUGCCGGCCCCAAAGCGUGGAAAGACCGAUCAAAUUGCGCUGCCAAACCAGGCGAUGGCCUGGAAACGAUCCACUAUGAAGGACACGGAGAUCCAGGCGUUGGUCGACGCCAAAUUGCUACAAGAGCAGGUAGUCGCGGGAUGGAGGUGUUCCUUCGUUAAUCAUUGGAUGUUCGAAACACACCCCGACGAGACGGUAGUCGUUGCUCGAUUCGUGGAGCGUGGGCUUGCUCUUCCAACAUCUGACUUCUUCCGGGGCCUGUUGGAUUACUAUUCUUUGCAACUUGUCCAUCUGAAUCCCAAUGGAAUAUUGCAUAUCUACAUAUUUGUUCAUCUGUGCGAAGCUUUUUUUGGGGGUGGAGUCCCAUUUCAAUCUUUUUCGCAAGAUUUUUCGUCUGAAGCCACAGCCUAGUGAGGACGACAUGCAAGUUAUUGGUGGUGCUGGCUUCCAGAUCCGAGAACAGUACUCGAAUCUGUAUUUGAAAUACGAGCUGGUGUCAUCUCAUGGCAGUUGGAAGGAGAAAUGGUUUUAUAUUGAAGACCACAAGCCAUCUCUGCCCAAGAUAACUUGUCAUCGCCCAACAUACAGUAGUCGGUGGCUUGAUGAACCGACAACUGCUGAGAGUAUUAAAAUCCUCGAUCUGCUGAAAAAGAUUGCUGAUCUGAAGGAGCAAGGCAUGAAAGGAGUUGCCGUUGCUCGCAGUUUUCUGAAAAGACGUGUGCAGCCAUUGCAGCUUCGGACAACUCCCGGGUAUGAGUACUCUGGACUCGACGAUCCUUCACGGAUGUCAUCCGAAGAUAUUUCAGAUGAAGAGGUGGGGGUUCGUCUGAGCCGAAUGUUCAGAGAGCUUGACGAUAUGCCCGUAGCGGUCCAGGAGUUCAACAAGUCGAACAAGCCAAAUGAAGUAAGUUCUCAACACUUGCUGCGCUUCAAGUACUCGUAAUCUCUUGGUCUCUUGUUUUCCGACUUGUUUAUUUUUGUGCAGGCUGAUGUACUUCUUUAUUAUUCGCCUCCUCCUCCCCCCAGUGCAGAUGAUGCAAAAAAUGCAAUGCGAGAACACUUACUGCGAUUGCCUGGGAAUCCUUCAGAAGGGGUGGAGGAGGACGAGGAGGAUAUCGAGUCUUUUAGCGACUCUGAUUCUGAUGCUGAUGAUGACUUUGUGAUGCAGCCGCGAGCUUCUAAGGGAGGCAAAUCGUCUUCUGACGCCUCAAAAUGACCUUCAGAGAGUGAUGACACCGAUGAGCACUUGCUCCCGGUGCCGAAAAAGCGUCGGACCGCGAUGCCUAAGCAGCACGCUCGACGCGACCACAUCUUCAACGCUGCACCCCCGAUGGUAAUAACCUUUGCGGAAGGGCAAAUUGUGAAGUUACGAGUACAUUCCGACUUGUCUUGCGUAGUCGCGAUUGCUUAUCUUUAUUUUUUUCUUUUGCAGACAACUGAUGAAGUAGUUGAAGAUGUUGAGGUGGCUGCUGAUGCAGUGUUUGAUGCCGCAGAAAUGACUGUCAACAAUGUAGUCGAGACAGCGGAAGCAGCAGCUGGCAAUGCAGAUAUUAUGACGGAAACGGCUGCCGGUGACGUAGCCGUGGCAUCGAAGACGGUGACCCAUCACGCAGUCAUCGAAAUGGAGGUGGCAACCGAUAGUGUGGCUGGUUCGACGGAGACGAACAUGAGUGAAGUGGUAAAAACGCCGGAGGUAGUGUCAGACGCCACACUGCCCGAAGCUUCCGUUGGCGGUGAGUAGCUAGUAGUAGUAGCAGUCGCGCGGCCGCCGUUGCUGAACUAAUUGCUGCAGGUAUUGGCGACAAUAGGUAGUCUCCCAGAAUUCUACACCCGAGCUGCUGCCUGAAGCCGCAUCGGCUCAAGGACCUUCUGCAGCAGACAUUUUGGACAUCCUUCCCCUCAAUGCUGCGAGUAAUGAAGCCCCCAAGAUUGAGGUUGCGCGCACCCUUGAGUCGGUUGGGGCGGCUACGGAGACGUCGUCUUAGGCGGAGCUAUCAUUUAGUCAAAAAUUAGUCUUGGAGCCGAGUGCGAGGAUUGAUCCUGCGGCUGAAGAUCCGUUGCCGCAGAGGGAGGUCGAGGCUUUCGAGAGCCCCUUAUUUGAUCCGCAGGUUAUAUCCUCUGUUUUUGAGGCAAAUCAGUGUUUGUUGACAUAUACCAAGGUGAGUUUUGAACUCAGCUAACAUCUUCCUCUAUUUGAGUUGAAAAAUCCACUUUAGAGUACUGAUUUCUCUAUACUCAGGAUCUGUUUGAGAAAUCUCGCCAGAAUGUACAACUUCUGCAGGAGCAAAACGAGGCUUCGCGCCGCGUUGCGCUUCUGGAGAAGGAGAUUAGCGAGGAGCGCCUGCGAACUUUGGAAUUCUUGAAGAAGUAUGAUGGUGCCUUGGCGUCGUUCAAAGUUGACCGACGGGAGUAUGAAGGAGAGAAAGCGCGCGUUGUUGCGCGUAAUAAGUCAUUGCACCAGAAAGUCGAUGGUGAGUACUCGUGUUUGCGAUCCAUAGCUUGUAUGUUGUAUGUAGCUUGCUUCUUGACCGCCUAGUGCUUUGGUGCAGAGUUGAAAAGCCAGGAGACUUUGCUGAAAAACACGAUCAGCGAUUGGAUGAACGCGUACUGCCGGCAGUCGGAGGAGCUUGAAGAACUCAAGGCUCGGCUGGAGAAGGUGGAGCGUGACUUGGAGAAGGAAUCCACGAUGCGCCAAGAUGGUGAGGCCGAUCUAGUCAGGGCUAUGACCACCAUCAAGGGGCUGUCAGACGCGGCGCAACUCGUGGCGGACCUAGUGGAGCCCCCUGCGGACGGAGUAGAGCCCCGUCCUUUAAUCGACAGGAUCAGGGAUACGCCGGGGAAGAUAACCAGCUUGAUCCAGGGCAUGGCGAAAUCCAUAUCCAAGCAGCUGUUAGGAUUCGUCAAGUCCUUCUAUCCCAAAUCAGAUCUUUCCCUGGUUGCGGAAGGUGUUGCUGCAGAUUGUUCGGACGAGACGUAUAAGCAAUACUUGGAGGAGUUAGACCCCAUAGCCGAGGAGGUAGCCAAGUUCGUUAACUUGCAGUAGUCUUAGGCUCCCUUCGGUUGUAAUCGCUCCUGAACUUGUAUCUCUGUACAAUGAUCCUUUGGGAGAAUUUUGCAUUUUGAUUUCCCACUAGUUCGCUUGUGAGAGUACUUUCUUCUGCUGACUUGAUCAGGAAUCGCAUCUUUGAGUUGUUAUCGUACUCGAUUGAUGAGUGGUCUGCAGAAGUUAUCGCUUGUUUCUCGUAGUCCAAGUAGUCGUCCCUUUGCUCAUGCAUUAUUGUGGGCGUACUGUGUAGGAUGCGCAAGGAAACUGUGCGUUGGUCCUUUGGGCUAGAGCAGAAGCAUUGAUGUAAUAUCCUGCAAGAUUCGUUAAUACGAAAAAUGCAUGUAUGAAAUAAGUAGUCGAAACGAGUAGACUUGGGUACUCUUAUGUCGACUUGUUGGCUGCUUGUGCCAUUGGUCCGUUUUCUGCGAACUUUUGAAGUGUAGGCUUGUGUUUGGGAGCUGUAUAAGCUCAUGUUGCUGCUGACCCGCUGUUUGCCGGCCGCUAGGUGAGUUGAUAAACCCGAGUAGACUUGUGAGUACAAGUCGUACUAGGGCAUGUGAGCCCAGAGAGCUGAAAAGCUCAAGGUUCGAGCUGACUCGCCUUUGCGAGCCACUCGAUGAGUUGAGUAACCCGAGCCGUUACACGACUAGUUCCAGGAGGUACAAGGGUCUUCUCAACUGUGACCGUUGAGCUUAUGCCGAUUUGGAAGGAAAACGAUAUCCCAUGGAUAAUGCCAAAAUUUUCGCCGUUGUGCGGAAAUACCGAUCCGUUGCUCCGGUAAAUGUCAUGAUACUGAAGCCUUUAGACUACUCCAUCAGGAUACUGAAGCCUUUAGACUACUCCAUCACCAUUCAGAGUACUUCUCUGUAAAAACUGAAUCGCUAUGUAAUAGCUAACAGGGGUUGAACCGGGUCAUUAUCGAAGAACACAGACCCUAGUUUAUCCCUCGAGUAGCAGUGGUUCUAGCGCCGCCGCUAUGGCUGGCUUACUAUGUAUCUGAAGAUUCCAUCUGUAAAUGAAAGAGCUGCUGUUCCUCGUCAGUUUCCCUUCCCCUUUUGAAUCUGCCUGCGUUCUUGCUGUUUCUUUUGCUUCUAUCUUUUCGAUCCCUGUCAGUAACUCCGUCGCGGUUAUAAAUAUUGGGGGAAAGUUACCCCUGCCCAUUAUGCUUUCAUUUGAAUCUGUUCGUUGCUCAGGCAAGAAAAAACCCUAGCCCUCAGCACCGCCGCCGUUGCAUCUUUAGAUCGCCAGCGUAGCUGCCUCCUCCAUCGCGUGCGCCGCCUCCGCUUGCUCCCCAAGGCAGGAAUCAGGAUGGGGAGAAAGCUUCAGAGCUCGAAGAAGGGGACCAAGGAGGCAUCCAAGGAGUCUUCCACAAAAGGGAAAGAGCCCCAGCUGCCGGCCCCAAAGCGUGGAAAGACCGAUCAAAUUGCACCGCCAAACCAGGCGAUGGCCUGGAAACGAUCCACUAUGAAGGACACGGAGAUCCAGGCGCUGGUCGACGCCAAAUUGCUACAAGAGCAGGUAGUCGCGGGAUGGAGGUGUUCCUUCGUUAAUCAUUGGAUGUUCGAAACACACCCCGACGAGACGGUAGUCGUUGCUCGAUUCGUGGAGCGUGGGCUUGCUCUUCCAACAUCUGACUUCUUCCGGGGCCUGUUGGAUUACUAUUCUUUGCAACUUGUCCAUCUGAAUCCCAAUGGAAUAUUGCAUAUCUACAUAUUUGUUCAUCUGUGCGAAGCUUUUUUUGGGGGUGGAGUCCCAUUUCAAUCUUUUUCGCAAGAUUUUUCGUCUGAAGCCACAGCCUAGUGAGGACGACAUGCAAGUUAUUGGUGGUGCUGGCUUCCAGAUCCGAGAACAGUACUCGAAUCUGUAUUUGAAAUACGAGCUGGUGUCAUCUCAUGGCAGUUGGAAGGAGAAAUAGUUUUAUAUUGAAGACCACAAGCCAUCUCUGCCCAAGAUAACUUGUCAUCGCCCAACAUACAGUAGUCGGUGGCUUGAUGAACCGACAACUGCUGAGAGUAUUAAAAUCCUCGAUCUGCUGAAAAAGAUUGCUGAUCUGAAGGAGCAAGGCAUGACAGGAGUUGCCGUUGCUCGCAGUUUUCUGAAAAGACGUGUGCAGCCAUUGCAGCUUCGGACAACUCCCGGGUAUGAGUACUCUGGACUCGACGAUCCUUCACGGAUGUCAUCCGAAGAUAUUUCAGAUGAAGAGGUGGGGGUUCGUCUGAGCCGAAUGUUCAGAGAGCUUGACGAUAUGCCCGUAGCGGUCCAGGAGUUCAACAAGUCGAACAAGCCAAAUGAAGUAAGUUCUCAACACUUGCUGCGCUUCAAGUACUCGUAAUCUCUUGGUCUCUUGUUUUCCGACUUGUUUAUUUUUGUGCAGGCUGAUGUACUUCUUUAUUAUUCGCCUCCUCCUCCCCCCAGUGCAGAUGAUGCAAAAAAUGCAAUGCGAGAACACUUACUGCGAUUGCCUGGGAAUCCUUCAGAAGGGGUGGAGGAGGACGAGGAGGAUAUCGAGUCUUUUAGCGACUCUGAUUCUGAUGCUGAUGAUGACUUUGUGAUGCAGCCGCGAGCUUCUAAGGGAGGCAAAUCGUCUUCUGACGCCUCAAAAUGACCUUCAGAGAGUGAUGACACCGAUGAGCACUUGCUCCCGGUGCCGAAAAAGCGUCGGACCGCGAUGCCUAAGCAGCACGCUCGACGCGACCACAUCUUCAACGCUGCACCCCCGAUGGUAAUAACCUUUGCGGAAGGGCAAAUUGUGAAGUUACGAGUACAUUCCGACUUGUCUUGCGUAGUCGCGAUUGCUUAUCUUUAUUUUUUUCUUUUGCAGACAACUGAUGAAGUAGUUGAAGAUGUUGAGGUGGCUGCUGAUGCAGUGUUUGAUGCCGCAGAAAUGACUGUCAACAAUGUAGUCGAGACAGCGGAAGCAGCAGCUGGCAAUGCAGAUAUUAUGACGGAAACGGCUGCCGGUGACGUAGCCGUGGCAUCGAAGACGGUGACCCAUCACGCAGUCAUCGAAAUGGAGGUGGCAACCGAUAGUGUGGCUGGUUCGACGGAGACGAACAUGAGUGAAGUGGUAAAAACGCCGGAGGUAGUGUCAGACGCCACACUGCCCGAAGCUUCCGUUGGCGGUGAGUAGCUAGUAGUAGUAGCAGUCGCGCAGCCGCCGUUGCUGAACUAAUUGCUGCAGGUAUUGGCGACAAUAGGUAGUCUCCCAGAAUUCUACACCCGAGCUGCUGCCUGAAGCCGCAUCGGCUCAAGGACCUUCUGCAGCAGACAUUUUG
rnacentral:lncRNA from 1 species